rnacentral:rRNA from 1 species
UACGUAGGGGGCAAGCGUUGUCCGGAAUCAUUGGGCGUAAAGCGCGUGUAGGCGGCUCGGUAAGUCCGCUCUGAAAGCCCGGGGCUCAACCCCGGGAGGCGGGUGGAUACUGCUGAGCUCGAGUCCGGAAGAGGAGUGUGGAAUUCCUGGUGUAGCGGUGAAAUGCGCAGAUAUCAGGAGGAACACCAAUGGCGAAGGCAGCACUCUGGGACGAUACUGACGCUGAGACGCGAAAGCGUGGGGAGCGAACAGG